rnacentral:rRNA from 1 species
UACGUAGGGUGCAGGCGUUAUUCGGAAUUACUGGGCGUAAAGCGUGCGCAGGCGGCCUUUUAAGACAGGUGUGAAAUCCCCGGGCUUAACCUGGGAACUGCGCUUGUAACUGAGAGGCUAGAGUAUGGCAGAGGGGGGUGGAAUUCCACGUGUAGCAGUGAAAUGCGUAGAGAUGUGGAGGAACACCGAUGGCGAAGGCGGCGCCCUGGGCUAACACUGACGCACAUGCACGAAAGCGUGGGGAGCAAACAGG